ACCUAUGGCCAUGCUAUGCUGACACAAUCUUGUCUCACCUCAAAAGCUAAGCAGAGCCAGUUGCAGUUUGUACUUAGAUGGGAGACCUUUGGAAUUACACUUCAAUAUACAGGAG
rnacentral:rRNA from 12 species